rnacentral:sRNA from 1 species
AGUCCGCGCGGGUUCUCGCUCGCAGAAGGGGUGCGAGCGGCGGCGGCGGCGGCGGCGGCGGCGGCGGCGGCCAUGGACGACGAGGAGGAGACGUACCGGCUCUGGAAGAUCCGCAAGACCAUCAUGCAGGCGAGCCGCGCCUGGUGUUGGGGGCGGGGGCGCGGGCGGCGGGUGCAGGGGCCCGGGGUGGGGUCGAUCACGGCGUCUCCUCGUACUCUCGUCGGAGCAGCAGCGACGAAGGGCCGGGCCGAUACGGGAGGCCCAGAGGCCGCCGGGGAUACCAGGCGCUGGACCCGAUCUGAGCCGGCAGCGGGGAAGGGAGGGGGUUGCGAGACGUCUGGGUGCGGGGCUUAGGGGUGGGCGGGCGGCUUGGGCUGGUGCGGCGCGCAUGGCGGCGAGAGAAGGAGGAAGCCGCGAAUGGGGACGGGGGGCGCCCCCAGACUCUGCCCCUCUCUGUGAUUCAGCAUCGCCAUUUGUCCUUGCGUCCUGAACCCCAUGGAGUCUCAGCAUCCGAGGCUGGCAGAGUUGGUGGUUGGGAAGCAGCGGGCGAGCUGGGGCUUUCGAUGGGGACGUGGAGCUCGGAACCCGUGCCUUGGGGUCUGGGGCAGAUGGAGGCCACUGGGCCGAGUCCGGUUUGGAAGCCGGGCACAGGCCUGAGGGCCUGCGGUUCAGGGUACUGCCUCAGCCAUUGGGGCCGUUUGAGAGCUUUUGCUUUGUCUUGCUUCCCACCCCUUGCCCUUGUCCUCAGCGAAGCCCCCCGCAGCCUGAUUCUCCUUCCUCCGAGCCUCAGACAUUGUCAGCCUGAAGUCACAUCUGUUUCGGUCCCUGUCAUUUUUUUUUUUAAGAGAUAGGGUUUCACUCUGUCGCCCAGGCUGCAGUGCAGUGGUGCAAUCAUAGCUCACUGCAUCCUUGAACUGGCCUCCAGCAACCCUCCUGCCUCAGCCUCCCUAAGUACUGGGAUCACGGGCGUGAGCCUCCGCGCCCCGCCUUUGUCCCUGCCUUUAGGGUAGCUCUGCAAAGUGGUUUGGAGGGCUUUGCUCCCUGCCAGGUUUCUCUGAGGCUGGGUGGACAGACGGUCUUGGUCAAGGCUGGACAUCUCUGGGAGCCUCUCAGGAUCAUACUGGUCCCAUCCUGUGGUGUGGGGCUGUGGGGGCCGGGGUGGCUGUCAUGGAGCACACAGUGAGUGAGCAGCCCGUUUGCUGUUCACCUCUGUCCUCUGCAGCAGCCGCAGGUCUGACUUCCGGGUCACGAGCUUUGGCCGCCUUCCUCUCUCUGCCCUGGGGUCAGCUGGUUCUUUCUCUCUGCAGCUGUGCCACGACCGUGGCUAUCUGGUGACCCAGGACGAGCUUGACCAGACCCUGGAGGAGUUCAAAGCCCAAUUUGGGGACAAGCCGAGUGAGGGGCGGCCGCGGCGCACGGACCUCACCGUGCUGGUGGCCCACAACGAUGACCCCACCGACCAGAUGUUUGUGUUCUUUCCAGAGGAGCCCAAGGUGGGCAUCAAGACCAUCAAGGUGUACUGCCAGCGCAUGCAGGAGGAGAACAUCACACGGGCUCUCAUCGUGGUGCAGCAGGGCAUGACACCCUCCGCCAAGCAGUCCCUGGUCGACAUGGCCCCCAAGUACAUCCUGGAGCAGUUUCUGCAGCAGGAGCUGCUCAUCAACAUCACGGAGCACGAGCUGGUCCCUGAGCAUGUCGUCAUGACCAAGGAGGAGGUGACAGAGCUGCUGGCCCGAUAUAAGCUCCGAGAGAACCAGCUGCCCAGGAUCCAGGCGGGGGACCCUGUGGCGCGCUACUUUGGGAUAAAGCGUGGGCAGGUGGUGAAGAUCAUCCGGCCCAGUGAGACGGCUGGCAGGUACAUCACCUACCGGCUGGUGCAGUAGCUACCGCCUGACAGCCCCUAGAGGCAGACACACAGACAGCGACCCCCAUCCCUGCAGGACGAACGCCCCUGCCCUGCCAGAAUCCGGCCCCCCAGCUCACGGCCGCUGCUCCUCUGGACUCCCCAAGGCAGGUGGCCUCCACCCACGUUCUCCCGUCCUGGGGUGAGGCUUCCUGUGGCCCAGCCCGCCCCAUUCACCUGUGGAUUUGUGCGAGAUGCAGCCUCAGAAGGGACAAGGCCCCCAGAGGGAGGUCACCUGGGGGCAGCUGGUGCCGGGUCUUCACCCAGACCACGCUGGGUCUCCACCCAGACCACGCUGGGUCCCCUCUGUUGGGGGUUUGGGGUCCGGGUCUCCCACCAGCCACUGCUUCCUCCUGGGCCCUCGGCCUUCCACCCCUCGUCUUCCCUCCCUCGGGGGCCCUGAUGCGUGGCGGCCCCAGCCCGGCCUCGGCUCUUUACUCCAUUCACAGCCGUGCACGUGCUCAAGCCACCAGGGUGCGAGAUGCCAGCUCUGGAGUUCUCGGUUGUUGUAGGAGGUUGGGUGUUUUCAAAUGGUAAAGAUGUUUUGAGCAAAUAAAUUUGCUUGAUACAG